ACUAUGAUCCCGCGGGAUCCUCUACUCGUAUACGUUUGGACGGCCAAACCAAUAGCGA
rnacentral:ncRNA from 1 species